rnacentral:rRNA from 1 species
UGCCAUUGGAGCAGCCCGCGUUGGAUUACGCUAGUCGGUGGGGUAAGGCCACCAAGGCGACGAUCCAUAGCUGGUCUUGAGAGGAUGAUCAGCCACAUCUGGGACUUGAGACAGGUCCCAGACUCAAUACGGGAGGCAGCAGUAGGGCAAUCUUGCGCAAUGGGCGAAAGCCUGACGCAGCCAUGCCGCGUGAAUGAUGAAGGUCUUAGGAUUGUACAAUUCUUUCACCGGGGAAGAUAAUGACGGUACCCGGAGAAUAAGCCCCGGCUAACUCCGUGCCAGCAGCCGCGGUAAUACGGCAGGGGGCUAGCGUUGUUCGGAAUUACUGGGCGUAAAGCGCACGUAAGGCGGCUUUGUAAGUUAGAGGUGAAAGCCCGGGGCUCAACUCCGGAAUUGCUUUAAAACUGCAUCGUUAGAAUUGUGGGAGAGGUGAU